rnacentral:rRNA from 1 species
GAAGAACCUUACCUAGGUUUGACAUCCCGGGAGUCUUUGAAAGAGAGAUGGUGCCUUUCGGGAGCCCGGAGACAGGGUGCUGCAUGGCUGUCGUCAGCUCGUGUCGUGAGGAUGUUGGGUUAAGUCCCGCAACGAGCGCAACCCUUAUCUUCAGUUACCAGCACUUCGGGUGGGACUCUAGAGAUACUGCCCCGGUCAACGGGGAGGAAGGUGGGGAUGACGUCAAGUCCUCAUGGCCUUUAUGCCUAGGGCUACACACGUGCUACAAUGGGCGGUACAAAGGGUCGCGAUCCCGCGAGGGGGAGCCAAUCCCAAAAAGCCGUCCCAAGUUCGGAUUGGAGUCUGCAACUCGACUCCAUGAAGCUGGAAUCGCUAGUAAUCGCGGAUCAGCAUGCCGCGGUCCGAAUACGUUCCGGGCCUU